UCAAGGUCUUCAGGAUCACCACACACUUCAGACAGGUGUGUGGACAGGCUGGAGAUAAACUCUGCAGGAUGCUGGUCCUCCAGGACACCACUGUUUUUGUGUCAGAUGCAGAUAAAGUCACCAGGAACAGGUCACUGCAUCUUUUGUCAUGUAGAUGCUGGAACGAAAAGCAGCUAGGCCACAGCAUCUAAAAUGGAGACUUCUAUUAAAGUUGCUCCGUAACGUAAGAGACUUGGACAGUGGAAGGAGCAGAAGAACCAGAAGAUCAGAGAUCAGGCAGAGCUCUACUGGUGCCUCUUAGGGGAUUGAUUUAUCUAUAAUUAUCUAUAAUAUCUACUUAAUGUUCUGAUGUAGUUAUAAUUAGUCAUUGUUCUGUUUUAUAAAUCUAUUCAAAACAUUCUAGUGUUCAAUAGUUUGGGGUCAGAAAGUAUUUUUUUUUUCUUUAAGAUAUUACUUGUAUUCAGCAAGGGUGCAUUAAACUGAUA